rnacentral:rRNA from 1 species
CCUACGGGCGGCAGCAGUGAGGAAUAUUGGUCAAUGGACGAGAGUCUGAACCAGCCAAGUAGCGUGAAGGAUGACUGCCCUAUGGGUUGUAAACUUCUUUUAUAUGGGAAUAAAAUGUUCCACGUGUGGGAUUUUGUAUGUACCAUACGAAUAAGGAUCGGCUAACUCCGUGCCAGCAGCCGCGGUAAUACGGAGGAUCCGAGCGUUAUCCGGAUUUAUUGGGUUUAAAGGGAGCGUAGGUGGAUUGUUAAGUCAGUUGUGAAAGUUUGCGGCUCAACCGUAAAAUUGCAGUUGAAACUGGCAGUCUUGAGUACAGUAGAGGUGGGCGGAAUUCGUGGUGUAGCGGUGAAAUGCUUAGAUAUCACGAAGAACUCCGAUUGCGAAGGCAGUUCACUGGACUGCAACUGACACUGAGGCUCGAAAGUGUGGGUAUCAAACAGGAUUAGAUACCCCAGUAGUC